rnacentral:rRNA from 1 species
AACGAACGCUGGCGGCAUGCCUAACACAUGCAAGUCGAACGAGACCUUCGGGUCUAGUGGCGCACGGGUGCGUAACGCGUGGGAACCUGCCCUUAGGUUCGGAAUACCUCCCCGAAAGGGGUGCUAAUACCGGAUAAUUUCUUCGGACCAAAGAUUUAUCGCCUUUGGAUGGGCCCGCGUUGGAUUAGCUAGUUGGUAGGGUAAAAGCCUACCAAGGCGACGAUCCAUAGCUGGUCUGAGAGGAUGAUCAGCCACACUGGGACUGAGACACGGCCCAGACUCCUACGGGAGGCAGCAGUGGGGAAUAUUGGAAAAUGGGCGAAAGGCUGAACCAGCAAUGCCGCGUGAGUGAUGAAGGCCUUAGGGUUGUAAAGCUCUUUUACCCGGGAUGAUAAUGACAGUACCGGGAGAAUAAGCACCGGCUAACUCCGUG